UACGCAGUUACGCAGAAUUAACGCAGUUAAUUACACUUUAGUAUGUCCCGCCAUCUACAGUGAAUCUUCAAUGUUUAUACCUUCCACCAUCCUCGAAGUGGUAACAUAAACCCUGAGAUGCAUAUGCAGUAGCAAUGUUAAAAAAGUGCCAUCGAUUUGCGGAAGUUAUUCAUCUCAUGGGGCUUUGAAGAAUAUGUAUAUCGUUUUGAAUUAUACUAUUAUAUGAACUGCAGAUGCCAGAUAUAUAUUCUCGCGGGCUAUGGCCUGUCGCUCCUUCAAUUUACAACGGCACCUACAUUUCUUCGAACCUCUACAGAUUAUCGACAUUAUAUGCUAUUCUCGUCAUAUACGUCUGGACGACGUGACUCUCUUCGAUGCCACAAGCCUGCAAGACAUACGUCUUAACAUCGUCUAUAUACAUAUAUAUUGAAGCGAAGCAAUAGACCAAAGUGUAUAUUCGAGAAACUGCCGUUUGCAAAGAAAGCUCAUAAGUCUAUGAAAAAGUCGCUCUCUUUGAGAGAGGGUAAAACAUAUUGCCAGGAAGUUUGAAACCCGCCGCCAAGAAAAUAUGGGACAAAACAAAUUGAGCCAUUAAAAUACACACACACACAUAUUUCUUCACAAAAAUCCACAAGUCUUAUGAUAUUUAUAAUUACUCUUAGAAGAAUAUAAUGAGAGAGAAACGAAUCAGUAUUGCUUGGAAUAAUGGACAUCUAUUGCCGACUGAAAAUUAGGCAUGACCUUAUUCGUUCUGCACGUAAAUUAAAGAUUUUAAAAUUACGUCACUUGGAAUGGGAUAUAUAUACCUUACGCUAGUGUCUGUCAUCUAAAUGAGCAACGGGGUACCUAGUGAUAAAACAUACUUUAUAUAUAAAUAAAGAUUGCUUUAGCUUCGCUGUUGGCGAUAGAUUUAGCGAAGAAACGAUGAUGAUCCUGUAUAUACGCAGAAAACCCAUGGCGUAUCGAAGAAUCGUCUCGGACUUUCCAAGAAUCAACCUGUUCCUUGAUAUUGUUCGCUAAAGCUUCUCUAAUUGGGUGGUCCCCUCCCCCCAUUAGUGAAAGCUAUUAUCGACUGCUUCGCUGAUUUUUUCGUGCACAACACUCUUGAUGAGCGCAAAAGGAACUACAUUAUACACAGGUGCAACAAGGUGUAUAUGCCAAUCGAAGUGCCCCUGGGGUUUCCUCUCGAUGAGUCGUUUAUAUAUAUAUAUAUAUAUAUAUAUAUAUAUAUACCAAAGAGAUCGAUUCCAGAGACAAUGAUGAUGAUUAUUGGAGUUGAGGUUGACACAACAAAUUUUUUUCCGUGCAGCAGCAGCAGAAGAAGAUUUAAGAGUGUUAAUAAGGUGCCAUGGAUUUGCAGAAGUUAUUAAUCUCAUAGGGGUUCGAAAAAUUUGUAGAUCGUUUUGAAUUGAGAAUCGAUACAAUAAAGUGAGAUAAAGUGAAAACGAAUUAAGUUAAAAAACGGCGGUGUGGAAAUUUUUAAAAUAAUUCUUCUAAGGCCUAAUUUUGACAGUCUCAACCGUUUCAACCUCUGCAGUUAAUUAUUAUAUGAAUCCGAAGCGAAAAAAAUUUGCGAUCUUUCGUCACGUAUCAAAGGAAUGUAAUUAGAAAUUCAAAGUACGUGACACAGCUCCGACGAAUUGGAUUGACAAAAAUAUACCGGCUGGAUCCACUGGUGAAAAUUGCGAAAAUUUUUAAAGAAGAAAGAAGGAUUCCGACAACAACAUCAAGGGACAGUCUUGAAAAUUAUUGUAUAACAUCGUGGAAAAGAAAUUAUCUAUAAAUUAUUAAUAAUUAUAAUUUUUAAAAACGGAAAAUUCAAAUUUAAAUGGAUCGCGCGCCUUUUCCAACAAAUCAACGCCUGGUGUUCUGUAUUACGUCAAGCGCGCCAAUUCCAGUAGAAAAACAUUUCCAGCCAAUCAGAGGACAGCGUUCAUAGCGAAUAGUGUCUUCCACCACCUCCAACGUCGCGCGCCACUUCGCAAAAUUGUCAACCAAUCAACGCCCGGCGUUGUCAACAGAAAUCUCCAGCGACAUUUUUCGCGUCUUCAAGCAUUUAGUCCGCCAUUAGCCACGUGCCUGCAUCGUCCUCAUUGUGUGAAGACGAGGUUCCGGAAUUUCGAUUAGUAGUCAACCAUCUGAAGAGGAAAUAAAAUCAUUCUGUAAAGGUACAAGUGUUUUUACUGGUCAUUACAAACGGAGCUGGAAUUUAAUUUUUUCAUUGAAAUAUUUUGUAUAUUUAUGUAUAUUACAGUUUUAUUUAUUAUGCGAUUAUUGUUAUUAAUUAAUUUUAAGUUACUAUUGUAUUAAGAAUUGAUGAUAAUAAAUAAAAAUAUUUAUACAAUAUAAGUAAAUUAUUGAGACAGUCCAAUUACACUCCUAAUCAAGACAUCAAAAUUAUAUUUUAAAUUUGAUAUUUAUUUGUAAUCUUUAACUUCAGGCUACGUAAUAUUAAGUUACAAGGUUUAGUCAAAAGUUGUAUAAAUAUUAAAAUGUCCGCACUGAUUAUAUUUUUGGUGAACUUUUGCACAAUAAAUUUAAACAAGUCCGACAUUUUAGUAAUUAUAAAACCUUUACUAAUCCUCGCAACUCAACAUUCUGAACUUUGCAGUAUUCUUAUAUAUUUUUAAAUAAUUUUCUACUGAAAUAGUAAAAACAAAGCUUAUUAACAACAAUAUCGACACAAUAACAAUAAAAAUGUAAUAAACAUAUAGAUACAAUAAGUAUGCUGUGAAAGGGGUUUUUGAAGUCACCAAACAUUUGUAACAACCAAUGAUAACAAUUGCAUCUCAAAAGAUUUUUUCCACUUUUCAGAUGAUUGUUUAAUAAUUUACAAAAAAUACAUCAAUCAAAUAAAUAAACAAGUAAAUUAAUAAAUAAUUGAAUAUAUUUAUCCUCUUUUAUUAAAUAAAUUUAAACAAAUAAAUAAGUAGUAAUAAAAACAACAAAAAAUAAUAAUAAUUCAUAGUAAUAAUAAUAAAAAGAUGUUUUUUUGUUUGUUUGCAUUGUUUCUUAAAAUGAUGAAAUUUUUAAUAAAUAUUAAAUAAAUAUUUUUU